rnacentral:rRNA from 1 species
AACGAACGCUGGCGGCAUGCCUUACACAUGCAAGUCGAACGGCAGCACGGGAGCAAUCCUGGUGGCGAGUGGCGAACGGGUGAGUAAUACAUCGGAACGUGCCCAGUCGUGGGGGAUAACUACUCGAAAGAGUAGCUAAUACCGCAUACGACCUGAGGGUGAAAGCGGGGGAUCGCAAGACCUCGCGCGAUUGGAGCGGCCGAUGUCAGAUUAGCUAGUUGGUGGGGUAAAGGCCUACCAAGGCUACGAUCUGUAGUUGGUCUGAGAGGACGACCAGCCACACUGGGACUGAGACACGGCCCAGACUCCUACGGGAGGCAGCAGUGGGGAAUUUUGGACAAUGGGCGCAAGCCUGAUCCAGCAAUGCCGCGUGCAGGAAGAAGGCCUUCGGGUUGUAAACUGCUUUUGUCAGGGAAGAAAUCCUCUGGGUUAAUACCUCGGGGGGAUGACGGUACCUGAAGAAUAAGCACCGGCUAACUACGUGCCAGCAGCC